GACGAACGCUGGCGGCGUGCUUAACACAUGCAAGUCGAACGAGUGGCGAACGGGUGAGUAAUACGUGAGUAACCUGCCCUCUUUUUGGGUUAAGCCUUGGCAACGGGGUCUAAUACCGGCUAACGGGGGAUGGGCUCGCGGCCUAUCAGCUUGUUGGUGGGGUGAUGGCCUACCCAGGCGGUGACGGGUAGCCGGCCUGAGAGGGUGAACGGCGACAUUGGGACGGAGAUACGGCCCAGACUCCUACGGGGGGCAGCAGUGGGGGAUAUUGCACAAUGGGCGAAAGCCUGAUGCAGCGACGCCGCGGGGGGGAUGAAGGCUUUCGGGUUGUAAACCUCUUGCGCAAUCGAAGGGGUAGGUGGAGAAGAAGCGCCGGCUAACUACGUGCCAGCAGACGCGGUAAUAC
rnacentral:rRNA from 1 species